rnacentral:rRNA from 1 species
UACGUAGGGUGCGAGCGUUGUCCGGAAUUAUUGGGCGUAAAGAGCUCGUAGGCGGUGUGUCGCGUCGGCCGUGAAAACCUGCAGCUUAACUGUGGGCGUGCGGUCGAUACGGGCAUCACUGGAGUUCGGCAGGGGAGACUGGAAUUCCUGGUGUAGCGGUGAAAUGCGCAGAUAUCAGGAGGAACACCGGUGGCGAAGGCGGGUCUCUGGGCAACAACUGACGCUGAGGAGCGAAAGCGUGGGGAGCGAACAGG